AACGAACGCUGGCGGCAUGCCUAACACAUGCAAGUCGAACGAGACCUUCGGGUCGAGUGGCGCACGGGUGCGUAACGCGUGGGGACCUGCCCUUAGGUUCGGAAUAACUCCCCGUAAGGGGUGCUAAUACCGGAUAAUGUCUUCGGACCAAAGAUUUGUCGCCUUUGGAUGGGCCCGCGUUGGUUUAGCUUGGUGGUAGGGUAAAAGCCUACCAAGGCGACGAUCCAUAGCUGGUCUGAGAGGAUGAUCAGCCACACUGGGACUGAGACACGGCCCAGACUCCUACGGGAGGCAGCAGUGGGGAAUAUUGGACGAUGGGCGGAAGCCUGAUCCAGCAAUGCCGCGUGAGUGAUGAAGGCCUUAGGGUUGUAAAGCUCUUUUACCCGGGAUGAUAAUGACAGUACCGGGAGAAUAAGCUCCGGCUAACUCCGUG
rnacentral:rRNA from 1 species